rnacentral:lncRNA from 1 species
GAGCGAGAUUAACACACACACACACACGCAUCAAUACUUGUCAGUGUUGCACUGCUUGUGUGUGUGUGUGUGUGUUACUAUGUAUAUGAUCAUGUAUUCGAAAUAACGGACUGAAGUGUAUACUGUAUAUGUGAGUUGGAUACUGUCUUGUAUAUAUGCGGUUGCCAUCGGACAGCUUUGUUUGGACAGUAUAUACAUAGACACACACACACACAUAUACUUGUAGAUACACAUAUAUGCAUAUAAAUAUAUAUAUACACAUACACCCACCACCACUACUACAUGCACACAGGGAUGUAGAUAAAUGAAUUUAUACACCCACUCUUUCCACACACACAGAGGCACGCUUGUAUGCACAAACACACAGGUUUUCAGUGGAUACUCACAGCCACAGCUGUAAACAGUCUGGAAAGGCACACGUGGCUGUUGGACAAGAAGACAACCUGUAUGGACCUGUAUCUAUGAGUGUGUAAGAACCACGCGUAUAUAUGUAAGUACCAUUAUACACGCAUAUACAUAUAUAUACACAUAUACAUAUAUACACACGCACGUACUAUAACAUAUAUUUGUUAUGGUUAUAUAUAUGAGUAAGCAUGAAUGUGUUACAUAUAUACAAUGUCGUGCUGUGUGUGUGGUGUGUGAGACGCGUGGCUUAGGGUUAGGGAUCAUGAGGUCGCUAGUUCGAUACCCGACGGCGCGUUGUGUCCUCGACUAAGACGCUUUACUUCAUGUGGUUCCGGUCCAUUCAGCUGGCAAAAAUGAGUUGUAGCCAAAUGUAAAAACGGCCAGCCUUGUCACAAUAUGUGCCUCGUUGAACCUCCCUGGGAACUACAUUAAGGGUACGCGUGUCUAUGGAUUGCUCAGUCACAUGCACGUUAAUUUCACGAGAGGGUUCUCCUGUUGAUUAUAUCAACUGGAACAUUUCGUCGUCGUAACCGAGAGAGUGCCAGUUUGGACAUAUAUGAACAUAGAGAUACGCAUGCAUUCAUUCAUAUAUAACUGUGGUUAUGCAUCAAUGUGCGUGUGUGUAAGUUAUGUGUGUACGCACGCGCGCGCGUUAAGAACAUGUAUGCAUGCGCGACUAUGCCUUUCUGUGCAUGAAUGAUAAGAUACAACACUCGUAUAAUGGGUAUGUGAGUGCUCGAACAUCCAUGUGUGCCUAUGCAAACGUGUGCGCGCAAUCAUGGGUCAUACAUUUGCUCGUGUAUAUGUGUAUGUAUAUAUGUGAGAUUUAUAUCUGUGUAUAUAUGCAAACAUUCUAGUGUGUGUCUGCAUGUGUGCGCAAAAUUCUUGCUAACAUGCGUCAGUGCGUUUGUAUAUAAACAAGCUUGUGUGUGUGUGUGUGUGUGUGUGUACGUGCGUGCAUGUGCAUGUAAACAUGAUUGUGUAUUUAUAAACAUGAUUGUGUGCGUGUAAACAUGUUUGUGUAUCUAUAACCAUGCGUGUGUGUGUUGGGCGCGUGUGUUGGGUGUGUGUGUGAGUAAACAUGCUUGUGUAUUUAUAAACAUGAAUGCGUGUAUGUGUGUGUUUGUGUGUGUGUAUGUAAACAUGCUUAUGUAUUUAUAAACAUGAAUGCGUGUAUGUGUGUGUUUGUGUGUGUGUGUGUGUAAACAUGCUUGUGUAUCUACAAACAUGACUGUGUCCUUGUAAACAUAUGCACACACACACACACACACGUGUGUAUGUGUGUGUGUGUGUGUUUGCGCCUGAAGGCGAGAACGAUAGUGAAAGUACUUGGAUCAGUUUGCCAGUUCGCAUGGUUCUAAGGCCUUCAUGUGGCUUCUCCCUAAAUCAUUUAAAGCAAAAAGAAGUGUUUGUUAUAAAUUAUUUUCAAGUUUUUUUAUACUCAGUUCUGUUACUGUCAUUUUUUUCUAUUAUUUUUACUAGUUUCAGCCCGACAGCUGCGGCCAUGAUGGGGCACAGCUGCACGUGCGACUCGCAUACACAUACAUAUACCUGUAACUCAUGCUUAAAUUGUAUUUAACAAAGAUCAGUAAAAUACUUAACGAGCAAUUUGAAACGGUUUCUGCAGGAAUUACAUAUCUCAACUGGCCUGGACCAGUAUUGCAGGGCGUGUAUGUGUAUAUGUGUGUGCGUGUGUACAUGUGUGUGUGUCUGUGUGUGUGCAAACAGAGUUUGUAUGUGUAUAUAAGCUGUGAAUCUACCUGGGAUCGAAUUUUGUGCAAAUGCUGUAAACACAACCCUACACACACACACAUAUUUAUAUAUAUAUAUGUGUGUGUGUGUAUGUGUGUACUUAGAUAUCCACACACAUAUAUAUACACACACACACACACACAUAAAUUUAGACAUUUAUACUCACUUUAUAUGUAGCUUAGUAGUUUAUUAACGUGUGAGAGCAUAUACACACACACAUACAUACAUACAUACAUACAUACAUACAUACAGACAGACAGACAGACAGACAGACAGAUAGACAGAGAGACAGGCGGACAGACAGACAAUAAUCAUUCAUGUUUGUAUAUUCCCCGGUAAUACC